rnacentral:rRNA from 1 species
UACGAAGGGGGCUAGCGUUGUUCGGAAUUACUGGGCGUAAAGGGCGCGUAGGCGGCUUCGAUAGUCGGUUGUGAAAUGCCUGGGCUCAACCCAGGAACUGCACUCGAAACUCCGAGGCUAGAGUGUGGGAGAGGAUAGUGGAAUUCCCAGUGUAGAGGUGAAAUUCGUAGAUAUUGGGAAGAACACCGGUGGCGAAGGCGGCUAUCUGGACCACAACUGACGCUGAGGCGCGAAAGCGUGGGGAGCAAACAGG